rnacentral:rRNA from 1 species
UACGGAGGGUGCGAGCGUUGUCCGGAAUCACUGGGCGUAAAGGGCGCGUAGGCGGCUACUUAAGCGUGUGGUGAAAGUCCGGGGCUCAACCCCGGAUCGGCCGUGCGAACUGAGUGGCUCGAGCACUGUAGAGGCAGGUGGAAUUCCGGGUGUAGCGGUGGAAUGCGUAGAGAUCCGGAAGAACACCAGCGGCGAAGGCGGCUAACUGGUCCAGAUCUGACGCUGAGGUGCGAAAGCGUGGGGAGCAAACAGG